rfam:Myotis davidii contig97037, whole genome shotgun sequence.
GGCAGUUUUCGAGUUACACAUGCCGGAAGCAGGCUCCCUCCUCUCUGGUUCCAGGUGCGUCACCUGAGAACCACA